UGACGUAAAAUGGGCAUUAGUCAAUGAAAGGCGGACCCUGUGGUAAGGUCCAUUGUGGUGGUUGGUUUGAGCGUCCCACUGAUCCUAGGAGUUAUGCUGUCGGGGCUUCAUGCCUCUGGUACGGCCAUCUGAUGCAGACGGGUCCUAAGCAGGUGUCUGUUUGACUGUUUGCUGCUUUGAAUGAUUGUUGCGCUUCGCUGCUCCUGGAUCAGUUUAAAGUGAAACUCAGAGAAGCUCCUCUGCAGUCUGACGGUCAGAUUUUCCUCAGCCAUGAUGUUUCUGAGUCCACUGUUGAUCACGCUGCUGCUCCAGCUGCAAGGAUCAGAUGGUAAUCCCUCUGUGACUCAGACUCCAGCAGUGAAGUCAGCUGCGUUGGGGGAGACGGUCUCUCUGAGCUGCUCAGCCAGUGCAGGAGUUGAUGAUGAUCUGAGUUGGUACCAGCAGAAACCUGGACAGCCUCCCAAACUGUUAUUUUAUAAAAUCACCAGCCGUCAAUCUGAUACUCCCAGUCAUUUCAGCAGCAGUGGAUCAGAGCCUCAGUUCACUCUGACAAUCAGUGGAGUUCAGGCUGAUGAUGUUGGAGAUUAUUACUGUAUGGGAGUGUAUUUAAUAAAUGAUGCCACAGUGUUCACACAGUGAUUUAUAGUCAUACAAAAACCUCCUUCAGUCAGACCACAGAUUGUGCAGCAGCUGUGAGUUUCUGCUGCAGACGGGAACAUGGAUCUACGGUCCAGUGAAGUUCACUCUGUAGUGCUAAUGGAAGAAACUAACAAAGUAUUUAUUUACUGAAAAUAAAGAUCAACAUUAAAGUGAGUUUUAAAUAAACUCAGAGUAAAAUAUGUCACAUUAACAUGUCUUAUGUUCAUCAGAAAUUAUUUUACAUCUCAUGAGAGUGAAGUCUCAGAAAAUUUAAUAUAUUUGAUUGCUAUGAAAACACUAUUUAGUAUAGCAUAGAGUUUGAGGUGAACAAAACAUUUAUUAAACAUCAGUAAUCAAACUGAUUACAUAUUGCAUAAAGUGUCAGGAUAAAUUAAUAUCAUCAACAUGUCUGAUGUAAUUUUCCCUGAAUAAUAACAGGAACAAUCACUGUGUGACUUUAUUCAUUUAAUGAAACAUAUUUCACUCAGUGAGAAACAUCUGAUACUAAAAUUAAAGUCAAACACCAUUAUUUGACAGCAAUUCUUAUUUAAACAACAGAUGUUGAUGACAUUUUUAAUAUUCAAUAAAACUUUCAUCUUGAAUAGUUUAUGUCAGAAAUUGUCUGUUCUCACCUGAAC